rnacentral:rRNA from 1 species
GACGAACGCUGGCGGCGUGCUUAACACAUGCAAGUCGUACGGUAAGGCCCUUUCGGGGGUCCACGAGUGGCGAACGGGGGAGUAAGACGUGAGUAACCUGCCCACAACUUUGGGAUAACGCUAGGAAACUGGAGCUAAUACUGGAAAUGUGCUCCUGCUGCAUGGGGGGGGUUGGAAAGCUCCGGCGGUUGUGGAUGGACUCGCGGCCUAGCGGCUUGUUGGUGGGGUAGUGGGGUACCAAGGCGGCGACGGGAGGCCGGCCUGUGGGGGUGACCGGCCAUCUUGGGACUGACAUACGGCCCAGAUUCCUACGGUAGGCCGCUGGGCGGAAUAUUGACCAAGCGGCGCCAGCCUGGUGCAGCAGCGCCGCGUGCGGUAUGACGGCCUUCGUGUUGAAAACCGCUUUCAGCAGGGACGAUGCUUUUUGUGACGGUACCUGCAGAAGAAGCACCGGCUAACUACGUG